CUUCUUCACACUAUAAAACAACAAAAAAACCUCGCAAGAACAAAUUGAUAUUAACUAUUUUUAGUCAUAUUCCACGAGGGAAAUUAGGCCAAAUAACAAACAAAAAAAUUACAAUUCACUAAAUAACCACAACCCCCACCCUCUCUUUUCUUUUCUCUUUCUAUCUCUCUUUACCUUCUUACUAUAAAUCUAAUUUUCCCCUUUUUUAUGGUUAUUCUACAAAUAAGCCCAUUCCACAAUCCCAUA
rnacentral:lncRNA from 1 species